CUAUUCCCCGCAUCUGGCGGUGAUGUCAAGUACGCGCGCUCAAGAACCAUAUUAUAGCUGCCCUGGAUCUGCAGGUGAAAACAUUUUCGCCAUGAAAUAUCGAAUACGACUCGAUUAUUAAGAGCAACCGGUAAACGUUUAUGUCAAUAAUAUGAUUGAUUAGACAGCUUGGUACACAUCGGUCUGUUCUGACUUUUGAUACGGUUUGCUGAAAGCACACAACUGAAAUGAAUUGGAAGACGAAAGAGCAGUUGACGUUGGCAUAACACAAAUCGUAUGCAUUCAACCAAACAAGGAACCAAGCAGAAAGAGCAUUGGAUAUGAAGGAUCAACCUAAUCACACGUUGAGGUACCUAUUUGCCCGACUGGACAAACAGCCCUAUUCAAACCAUUAAAAAGCUUCUGAAACAAGUCCAUUUUCAACGAAAACCAAGCUCUACUAUAUUGAUGAACUUAUGAAGAGUAUUGACUUAUGAACGCAGAAAUGUCUGAUACAUUAUUGAAGCCUACUUUGAUUAUUUGAGAGUCUGCAAUAUAUUUUUUUCCAGUGACAAAUCUUGAUUCUACAUAAGACUUUUGAUUUACUUUAAUUCUAAGGCGAUACUUGAACUAACAAAUUUGUCUUACCAAUAACCAACCGGCGUAUAAAGGACGAGUAGUCUAGCCUAUUCUUGGUUUAAAAUAAAACUUUAGAAAAAAUAAUAAUAUUGCUGUGUGAAUUUACCCCUGAUAUUUCGUUUGAUUGCUUUUGUAUUUUGACGCUUGUUUUAUAAUGUAAAUAUUACUUUGUAAAACCGACAAUAUCAACCUUGAGCUGCAUGUCAUGUUGUUUUUCUAAUAGGCCUAAACUAAUUUAAUUCAAUUAAAAAACAAAUUUAUUUUCACGCGUCAAGUUAAUUCCGUAUCUUGCUUGGGUUCAUGAUCAGAAUUCAAUCUAAAUCAUAAUCUAGCCAUAAAACGUACCCCUGAAAUUGUAGUUACAAAACUACCUGUUACUCUUGUACAGGGUUUUACGUGUGUCACGUACGAAAAGCUAUUAUCAGAUCAAGUUUUUCAGCCUCUCAUUCCGAGAAGUAAUUACAAUAGAAGUAAGUUACAAUAGCAAUGAUGAUUCAUACCAGCAUUAUCUUUGGCAUAAUGUAUAUGACAUGUGAUGCGACAAUCCUACAUGUCAUGGAGGGAGAAUUAGCAGAGUUGGAUUUCCCGUACCCAUGUAACGUUUCGAGAGUUACAUUUCAGUACGGAAACAGAGCCCCAACAUAUAACUCGGCCGAUCCAAACUCUAACUCUUUGCCUCCAAAUCAAAAUCUCACUUUCAAAGAUGAAAGUGAAAACAACGAAUGUUUCUCACAUCUGACUAUUAACCCCGUUUUAAGAAAUGAUGCAGGGACCUACAUCCUUACCGCUUAUAAUGAUAAUAAUCGGUAUAUAUAUGAUAAAAGGGUUGGGUUGAGAGUUGAUUAUCCUCCUGGCAAGGCAUUUUGUGAUUCAGGUGAAGUGUAUAUUGAAGGGGAAUGGAUCAGACUACAUUGUUCAGCUCCAGAGGGUAAUAAUGUACCCGGUGAGAUCGUGUGCUAUCAAGAUGGCAUGAUGCUGCCCCCUUUGGCAUCACCCGGAACUCUAGAUCAGGUAAUAUUAGCUAGACAUGUAGCAAGUUUGGUGUAUUGCUGUUCUUCUACCUUGCAACAGACGGAAAGAUGUGAUUGUGAGGACAGUUCCUGGGAUCCCAUCCUAAAUACUGCAGUUACUAAUGUCAUCGACCCCUGCCCAGGUGUCCUGUCGACACCACACCCAACAUCUCAUCCAAUUGUUCAGGCAAGCAAAAAUUAUACGUGUCCUGCAUCAAGUGCACAAUCAUGUGUCUUGAAAAGUGACACAACCCAGAAUUAUUUGAUAGCUUUGAUGUGUGUCUUCAUCAUGAUAAGUUGGUGUUGACGUGUGUAAACAGUUAUGAAUUAUUUUUUUUUAUUUCAUGUAUUAUUUCAAGUUUCAACGAAUUGUAUAUCCAAACUUUGAAGAUAAAUUUCAUAAAAAUAAUGCGCUUAACUAAACAAAAAUAGAAGGAAACAGAAUAACAGACUCUUGGAGCCUGUCCUAAUAUCGUCACCCAUUUCACAAUUAUUAACCCUUUAAAGUAAACUUAGAUUGUUCCGACAAAAAUGUUGCCAGCCUGACCAGAUAGCCGUAUGGUUUAGCCCUGGAUACAUAGAGCCACCGAAAAAAGACUCCAUCUGAAACUACAGGAAGUAGUGUGACUGGACAUUACAAAACACAUACAAAGAAAAGCUGACAACACUUUCUCUGUAUACAAUUUAUAUAAUUUAUCUAGCAAGUGAUGUAAAAUCAAAUUAGGUAUUCAAGCAAUUUUGAUACCACAUGGUUGUAAAUGUAAUUAUCAUUUAUAAGGAGAUGCAUAGUCUAUUAUACUAUGAUGUAAUAGGUCAUGACUAUCUAAAAAUGAAAUGUCAAUGGGGAAAAUUAAGGCUAUAUACAUAACCAAAAGAAGAAAAAGAAGAAAAAGGAUGUACGGAUAUUUCUAAUUUAUUGAAUAUAUAAAUGCAUAUAUAUAUAAUUAUAUAGGCCUAUAUUAUAUGAAAUUGAAAAGGUUCAUAGCCUAAACUUCCUUAGACUCAUAAUCGACGGAGGGCUAAUUUGGACCAAACGUGUAAACAGUAUUCAAGAAAAAAUAAGUACAUGUAUAUAUAUAUAUAUAUAUAUAUACCAACAAAAUGUGUAAGCCCAUUUUAUAGUUAUACCUUGCAAAUACUUAUGCAUGAUAUAUAAAUUAUUCAUCUAGUCAUAUCCCAUCUAUUGUAGUCUUGUUUGGAUUGUUUUAAUAAUAUUAAGUUAAAACUGGCAUUGUUUAUGUUCGAAUACGUUAACGCAUUACUACCUGCAAAUCUUAGACAUUUUACCAAAUCUUUGCACCCAACAAGAUCUGUAAAAAUACUGACAAGGGGGAUAAACAACUGUAAAAGUACGUGUAUGCGCUACGAAUUAGAGUGUACAUAAAUCAUAUUUGUAUAACAUGAGUAAAUGUGGGGAGUGAAGGAAAGAGUUUAAGUUGUUCCAGAAUUUUGUACUAGUAUGAUAUUGAAACAAUAUUUGUUUGAAACGAUACGAUUAUACAUUUGAAAAUAUGAAUGUUUCUUACAGACUGUGAGGGAUAGUUAAUUCAUAUUGUUAUGUUUCUGAAAAAGGUCUAUAUAAUAAUCUAGGCUUAUUUAUCUUGCCUGAUCUUUUGAAGGCUAUAACUUUAUUUUUAUUUACUCGGGAAGUUAUUUUCUGGUUGUGCCUUUUGAUGAUAUGCAAGAUCCAUGAUAAUGAAAGUAUUUUGAUAUUAAGCAGUAUUAUUCAUAGCUCGCUUCCAUAGAUUAUAUAUAUCUUUCAUAUAUUUAUAUCAGAUCCUAUUUAUAUUUUACUCUUUAGUUUGUAUGUUUCUUACAGACUGUGAGGGAUAGUUAAUUCAUAUUGUUUUGUUUCUGAAAGAGGUCUAUAUAAUAAUCUAGGCUUAUUUAUCUUGCCUGAUCUUUUGAAGGCUUUAACUUUAUUUAUAUUUACUCGGGAAGUUAUUUUCUGGUUGUGCCUUUUGAUGAUAUGCAAGAUCCAUGAUAAUGAAAGUAUUUUGAUAUUAAGCAGUAUUAUUCAUAGCUCGCUUCCAUAGAUUAUAUAUCUUUCAUAUAUUUAUAUCAGAUCCUAUUUAUAUUUUACUCUUUAGUUUGUAUGUUUCUUACAGACUGUGAGGGAUAGUUAAUUCAUAUUGUUGUGUUUCUGAAAGAGGUCUAUAUAAUAAUCUAGGCUUAUUUAUCUUGCCUGAUCUUUUGAAGGCUAUAACUUUAUUUAUAUUUACUCGGGAAGUUAUUUUCUGGUUGUGCCUUUUGAUGACAUGCAAGAUCCAUGACAAUGAAAGUAUUUUGAUAUUAAGCAGUAUUAUUAAUAGCUCGCUUCCAUAGAUUAUAUAUCUUUCAUAUAUUUAUAUCAGAUCCUAUUUAUAUUUUACUAUUUAGUUUGUAAAUAAUUAUAUUAUAGGUGAGAGUAUGCAUGUAUGCAGGCUAACUCCGAAUCAUCUGGUCAUUGAGUCUGGUCGGGCGUUAUACGCGACCUUUCGUAGACUUGCCGUAGGGUUUCUUAAAGUGUCGGGUAAAUUGUACCAGACUAUUUGUAGAUUUUACAAACAUUACAUUACACUCGACAUUUCUUGAAUAAGGUCGAGUAAACGGAUUAUGUAUACGUCAUUAAAGUUUCGAACUUUGCGGUCUUUUGCGGUGUUAUUAUGGUUUAGUUCGUAUUCAUACUAUUUGUUGUUGAAUAUAUAUAACGAUUUAAAUAAUGCACUUGAUUUGUAUAUUAUGACGGGCAGUUUGAAGCUUUAGACAUUCGCACUAGAAACCAUUACUAUUUUUGUCGGUGGCAGCACCUAUAAAGCAUUUGGCUUUCCUUGCUGUCUCCACAUUCAUAUGACACUUUGGUAUUGUAUAUGUAUUGAUGAUGAAUGAAAUAAAGAUCAAUUUUAAUUUCAAUUGUAUCAUACAUAGCCUACAUGUAUCAUAAAUAAAAAGAUUUAAACACCGUUUUAUUGCAUGAGCAAGUUCAUGGUGUGGUAGGUGUACUAUAAAAACAUACUUAUUCUAAAGUUA